AACGAACGCUGGCGGCAUGCCUAACACAUGCAAGUCGAACGAGACCUUCGGGCUUAGUGGCGCAUGGGUGCGUAACGCGUGGGAACCUGCCCUUAGGUUCGGAAUAACUCGCCGGAAGGGGUGCUAAUACCGGAUAAUGUCUUCGGACCAAAGAUUUAUCGCGUUUGGAUGGGCCCGCGUUGGAUUAGCUGGUUGGUAGGGUAAAAGCCUACCAAUGCGACGUUCCAUAGCUGGGAAGAGAGGCUGGUCCGCGACACUGGGACUGAGGCACGGUCCAGAAUAUUGGAGGAGGGGGGAAAGGCUGAUACAGCAAUACGGGGUGUAGCAUGAUGCACCUAUGCUGGGAAAGUGCUGAAGGUCUUAGGGAAGUAAAGCAAGUUUAUCCGGGGCGAUAAUGACGGUACCGGGAGAAUAAGCUCCGGCUAACUCCGUG
rnacentral:rRNA from 1 species